CCUAGGGGUGCUCCAGUGAGGAAUAUUGCACAAUGGGGGGAACCCUGAUGCAGCAACGCCGCGUGGAGGAUGACGCAUUUCGGUGUGUAAACUCCUUUUAUAUGUCAAGAAAAUGACGGUAGCAUAUGAAUAAGCACCGGCUAACUCCGUGCCAGCAGCCGCGGUAAUACGGAGGGUGCAAGCGUUACUCGGAAUCACUGGGCGUAAAGGACGCGUAGGCGGGUUGGAAAGUCAGGUGUGAAAUCCUACAGCUUAACUGUAGAACUGCACUUGAAACUUCUAAUCUAGAGUAUGGGAGGGGGAGAUGGAAUUAGUGGUGUAGGGGUAAAAUCCGUAGAUAUCACUAGGAAUACCCAAGGCGAAGGCGAUCUCCUGGAACAUUACUGACGCUAAGGCGUGAAAGCGUGGGGAGCAAACAGGAUUAGAUACCCGUGUAGUC
rnacentral:rRNA from 1 species